GCAAAUCAACCUGACCUACCAUUUGAUGAAAACUAUGCACAGGAUGUAGACAGCGGCUGGGAUAAACAAAAAACAGGAAAGGAGGAGACUUUCACAUGUAUCCUCCUCAAGGAAGAAAAAAAUCAGUUGGUGGCCUAGGAUGUUUUUUUUGUUACUGAGACAUAUUAAAAUCUAUAUUCCAAAGACUCUAACCUUUAUAAAGAACAAGCAAAACUAUACAUUCCUUUUCUGCAUUUAUAUAAUUCCCUCUCUAUUACGUUCCUGCAGUCCUCUAAUGUUUUAAUCUUUCUGUCACACUUGCAUGAAACUACAGGCCUGGGUUGGAGCCUGCUUCCUUUGCCCUUAAGAAGUUAAGAAAAAGAAGCCAAGACUCUUCCACUUGAUUUUUACUUUUAUAUUUUUAUUUAAUAAUGAUAGCUUUUGAACAAGAUCUGAGUUUUGUCUUAUAAUAUAAUAAUAUUACUCAUGAUAUUAAUGGUAGCAAUGUUACUCAUGUAGUGAGUUGCAUCAAUUGUAAGGGAGGAUUUUUUGUACUUAAUGUCAUAAAUACAUUUAAUAUGUCACCAUAAUUGAUUCUAUCUUUAAUUUUGCAAUAAAGCUUACUAACAGAUGAAAGCCUGGGUUGAAGACUGCGAUAUGAUAACCCUUCCAUCUAGAUUUCCAGUUCAGAUUCUGCUUGAGAGAAAGCCAAUGUCUGACAACUGGACGGUCACCUCUGUGAAUUAAUCUGGUGGGCUCAAUCCGAUUCUACUCACAUCUCCAAAACUAGUACUACAGCCAGCAAGUCUCUACACAGAGUCUAAGAGUUAAGCAAUCACAAUGACUGAACCAUCAACUUGACCUUUAAGAUCCCUUUAGAAAAGGUUUGAUCCACAUUGAUUUACUUUAUCUCUCAGAUGAUCAGCUCUGUACUAAAACCCUGACUGACGAGAAGUCAUUUUUUGAUGCAUUAUGUUAGCAGUGUUCCACAGCCUAACAUGAAAACAGCGGGUGAAAGUCACACCUCACUGAAGUCAAUAGGAGGAUUGCUUUCAGUGGAACUUGGACUUCACCCGGCCAAUCCAGUCUGCAGUGUUUGGAUCCUACCUAUGUCCAAAGGGAAAAGCGGAUGCAUAUUCUUCUACCACUUUAAGAUGAGAAAUGCCAAAGGAAACAACAAUUUCCCACUCCCUACACUUUCAGCAACAUUUACUGAAUGAGUCCAGAAAGACCUUUUAGAACAAGACAAGAAGAAUAUAUGAUGAGUUUCUUUAAACGAGGAUUUAUUUUGCAUAUGAUUAGAUGUAGUGUAAACCUUUUUAAAAAAAGUUACAUCUGCAUUAAUUUAGUCAAGGCCAUCAAUAAACCUGAAGUGAGUUCAAAGACUGCUAUAGAU
rnacentral:lncRNA from 1 species